rnacentral:tRNA from 1 species
AAGGCUUUAGCUUAAUUAAAGCGUCUGGCUUGCAUUCAGAAGAUACAGGUUAAUAUCCUGUUAGUCUUA